rnacentral:rRNA from 1 species
UACGGGGGGGCAAGCGUUGUUCGGAAUUACUGGGCGUAAAGGGUCUGUAGGUGGCCAACUAAGUCAGACGUGAAAUCCCUCGGCUUAACCGGGGAACUGCGUCUGAUACUGGAUGGCUUGAGAUUGGGAGAGGGAUGCGGAAUUCCAGGUGUAGCGGUGAAAUGCGUAGAUAUCUGGAGGAACACCGGUGGCGAAGGCGGCAUCCUGGACCAACACUGACGCUGAGGAGCGAAAGCCAGGGAGCAACGGG